rnacentral:rRNA from 1 species
CCUACGGGUGGCAGCAGUGGGGAAUAUUGGGCAAUGGGCGCAAGCCUGACCCAGCAACGCCGCGUGAAGGAAGAAGGCUUUCGGGUUGUAAACUUCUUUUCUCAGGGACGAAGCAAGUGACGGUACCUGAGGAAUAAGCCACGGCUAACUACGUGCCAGCAGCCGCGGUAAUACGUAGGUGGCAAGCGUUAUCCGGAUUUACUGGGUGUAAAGGGCGUGUAGGCGGGACUGCAAGUCAGAUGUGAAAACCAUGGGCUCAACCUAUGGCCUGCAUUUGAAACUGUAGUUCUUGAGUACUGGAGAGGCAGACGGAAUUCCUAGUGUAGCGGUGAAAUGCGUAGAUAUUAGGAGGAACACCAGUGGCGAAGGCAGCAUGCCGGCUCCACACUGACGCUGAGGCACGAAAGCGUGGGUAUCGAACAGGAUUAGAUACCCCAGUAGUC